rnacentral:rRNA from 1 species
AUUCAACGGCCGCGGUAUCCUAACCGUGCGAAGGUAGCGUAAUCACUUGUUCUUUAAAUGAGGACUAGUAUGAAUGGCAUCACGAGGGUUAUACUGUCUCCCUUUUUUAAUCAGUGAAACUAAUCUUCCCGUGAAGAAGCGGGAAUAGAAUUAUAAGACGAGAAGACCCUAUGGAGCUUUAAACUAAGCAACAAUUGUUCUAAACUACUCCCUCUUCAGUUAAAAUUAUAUCUUAACAUUAUGAUUGCUAGUUUUUGGUUGGGGUGACCGCGGAGCAUAAAACAACCUCCACAAUGAAAGAAACUUAAUUUCUUAACCCAGAGCUACAACUCUAAGUAUCAAAAAUUUGACAUACAUUGAUCCAAUAUAUUGAUCAACGAACCAAGUUACCCUAGGGAUAACAGCGCAAUCCACUUCAAGAGCCCAUAUCGACAAGUGGGUUUACGACCUCGAUGUUGGAUCAGGGUAUCCCAGUGGUGCAGCCGCUACUAAAGGUUCGUUUGUUCAACGAUUAAAACCC